AACACCAGGAUCUCUAAUGUGCUGACAGAAAGUAUUGGUCUUCCUCAGAGACUGAUGACGGACGGAUGCUGCUGUGGUCUUCCUGCUGAUGUUUUUGUGGCCACACUGGGGCAGAACGGAUGUUAUUGAUUGCAAGUUCCGUCUCCUUUCCAAACCAAAACGCCAAUAUUAUAAAGGAUGCAAGUGAACCACACAGAGAGCAGAGCAGAUCACAGAAGAGGAAGGGAGGACACACGGUGUGAAUGUAAAAGGUCACACAACAAAUGCAUACCUAGAGUCAGAGAUCAAGGUUACUUCAGCAGGAUGGACUUUCGGACUCAUCCCAAAGGAUCAAAGCGAG